rnacentral:rRNA from 1 species
UGGGAACGUGCCCUUUGGUUCGGAACAACUCCGGGAAACUGGAGCUAAUACCGGAUAAGCCCUUCGGGGAAAGAUUUAUCGCCAAAGGAUCGGCCCGCGUCUGAUUAGCUAGUUGGUGAGGUAACGGCUCACCAAGGCGACGAUCAGUAGCUGGUCUGAGAGGAUGAUCAGCCACACUGGGACUGAGACACGGCCCAGACUCCUACGGGAGGCAG